UGCUUUUCUCAUUAGUUCAGCUUGCUACUAUGUGCAAUAUAUUGUUCGAGGAAUAUAUACGAUUUACAAGAAUGAUUACAGACUUGAGCCAAAAGCCAAAGACAAUAAUUUUGUACAGAAUAGUUGGUGUUGGUUUACUUAUACACAGAAGAAUUACUACUUAUCAAGUCUUGAUAUUAUUGUGUUGAUGAUGGGUACUACAAGUUGCGUGAAGCGAGAAUCUCUGCUUUGACUCUAGUGAUGAACUCUUCAGCUCUUUCGUCUAUUCCCUUCUCCGGAAACAAUUCUUCCUUCGGUUUCCAUUGCUUUGCUGGAAUCCAAUUGGACACAGCUACAGGCUCCCUGAAGAGCUUAUCCACAUAUACAACAUCUUUGCGUUUCUUCUUGAACAAACAACCUCUCUUCAGGCGGAUGAAAAAAACACGGGAAUCUCUGUCUCGAACAUUCUCUCUGGAUCGGUGGCUUGAACGAAGGAAAUGUUUGUCCGAAGUUGAUGCUUUGUACUUGGUGUGGUGUUUGGUUUUGGAUCCCCGGAGUUUAUGGAAGCUGGCGGUGAAGCUUUUCCAAGCUCUUUUGGCAGGUAAAAGCCUAAUUCUAAGGCAAGACAUGACUCUUAAGAUUGUUGAGAUUGAGAGAGUGAAGAGAGAUGAGAAAAAAAAUUGGUGGAUAAAGCAAAGGCAGAUAAGCAGAGGAUUAUAUAGAAGUUUGUUUCAGCUUAAUUCGGACGCAAGACAAGACAGAAGCGGCCAAUAAUAUUCCACUUCUUGCUUAAUCUCUACGCUGCUUCCUAAAUCCAAAUCUCUCUUUAUUUUAUAAUGAUUUUGCUUUAAGAAAUUUUUUAUGUUUUCAUAUAUAUAAAUAGUACAUUGCAGAGGAGAUUAGAGAGGCUUAGCUUUUAUUAUAAGGUUAAAAGAUUUAAAUGAGAGCUUGAACACCAUUUCUACACAUCUCUCUGAGCCUCCAAAUG